rnacentral:rRNA from 1 species
CCUACGGGAGGCAGCAGUAAGGAAUAUUGGGCAAUGGACGCAAGUCUGACCCAGCCAUGCCGCGUGGAGGAUGAAGGUCCUCUGGAUUGUAAACUUCUUUUAUCUGGGGAGAAAUCUAUGGUUUCUACUAUAGUUGACGGUACCAGACGAAUAAGCACCGGCUAACUCCGUGCCAGCAGCCGCGGUAAUACGGAGGGUGCAAGCGUUAUCCGGAUUCACUGGGUUUAAAGGGUGCGUAGGUGGGCAGGUAAGUCAGUGGUGAAAUCUCCGAGCUUAACUCGGAAACUGCCAUUGAUACUAUCUUUCUUGAAUACCGUGGAGGCUAGCGGAAUAUGUCAUGUAGCGGUGAAAUGCUUAGAUAUGACAUAGAACACCAAUUGCGAAGGCAGCUGGCUACACGAAUAUUGACACUGAUGCACGAAAGCGUGGGGAUCAAACAGGAUUAGAUACCCUGGUAGUCCACGCCCUAAACGAUGGAUACUCGACAUACGCGAUACACAGUGUGUGUCUGAGCGAAAGCAUUAAGUAUCCCACCUGGGAAGUACGAUCGCAAGAUUGAAACUCAAAGGAAUUGACGG